UACGUAGGGUCCGAGCGUUGUCCGGAAUUAUUGGGCGUAAAGGGCUCGUAGGCGGUUGGUCACGUCGGGAGUGAAAACUCAGGGCUCAACCCUGAGCGUGCUUCCGAUACGGGCCGACUAGAGGUAUGCAGGGGAGAACGGAAUUCCUGGUGUAGCGGUGGAAUGCGCAGAUAUCAGGAGGAACACCGGUGGCGAAGGCGGUUCUCUGGGCAUUACCUGACGCUGAGGCGCGAAAGCUAGGGGAGCAAACAGG
rnacentral:rRNA from 1 species